AGAGUUUGAUCCUGGCUCAGGACGAACGCUGGCGGCACGCUUAACACAUGCAAGUCGAACGAGAGAAGAGGAGCUUGCUUUUCUGAUCUAGUGGCGGACGGGUGAGUAACACGUGAGCAAUCUGCCUUUCAGAGGGGGAUACCGAUUGGAAACGAUCGUUAAUACCGCAUAACAUAAUUGAACCGCAUGAUUUGAUUAUCAAAGAUUUAUCGCUGAAAGAUGAGCUCGCGUCUGAUUAACUAGUUGGUAAGGUAACGGCUUACCAAGGCGACGAUCAGUAGCCGGACUGAGAGGUUGAUCGGCCACAUUGGGACUGAGACACGGCCCAGACUCCUACGGGAGGCAGCAGUGGGGAAUAUUGCACAAUGGAGGAAACUCUGAUGCAGCGAUGCCGCGUGAGGGAAGAAGGUUUUAGGAUUGUAAACCUCUGUCUUCAGGGACGAAAAAAGACGGUACCUGAGGAGGAAGCUCCGGCUAACUACGUGCCAGCAGCCGCGGUAAUACGUAGGGAGCGAGCGUUGUCCGGAAUUACUGGGUGUAAAGGGAGCGUAGGCGGGAUCGCAAGUCAGAUGUGAAAACUAUGGGCUUAACCCAUAAACUGCAUUUGAGUCUGUGGUUCUUGAGUGAAGUAGAGGUAAGCGGAAUUCCUAGUGUAGCGGUGAAAUGCGUAGAUAUUAGGAGGAACAUCAGUGGCGAAGGCGGCUUACUGGGCUUUAACUGACGCUGAGGCUCGAAAGCGUGGGGAGCAAACAGGAUUAGAUACCCUGGUAGUCCACGCCGUAAACGAUGAUUACUAGGUGUGGGGGGACUGACCCCUUCCGUGCCGCAGCAAACGCAAUAAGUAAUCCACCUGGGGAGUACGACCGCAAGGUUGAAACUCAAAGGAAUUGACGGGGGCCCGCACAAGCAGUGGAGUAUGUGGAUUAAUUCGAAGCAACGCGAAGAACCUUACCAGGUCUUGACAUCGUAUGCAUAGCUCAGAGAUGAGUGAAAUCUCUUCGGAGACAUAUAGACAGGUGGUGCAUGGUUGUCGUCAGCUCGUGUCGUGAGAUGUUGGGUUAAGUCCCGCAACGAGCGCAACCCUUACUGUUAGUUGCUACGCAGGAGCACUCUAGCAGGACUGCCGUUGACAAAACGGAGGAAGGUGGGGAUGACGUCAAAUCAUCAUGCCCCUUAUGACCUGGGCCUCACACGUACUACAAUGGCUGUCAACAGAGGGAAGCAAAGCCGCGAGGUGGAGCGAACCCCUAAAAGCAGUCUUAGUUCGGAUUGUAGGCUGCAACCCGCCUACAUGAAGUCGGAAUUGCUAGUAAUCGCAGAUCAGCAUGCUGCGGUGAAUACGUUCCCGGGCCUUGUACACACCGCCCGUCACGCCAUGGGAGUCGGUAACACCCGAAGCCUGUAGUCUAACCGCAAGGAGGACGCAGUCGAAGGUGGGAUUGAUGACUGGGGUGAAGUCGUAACAAGGUA
rnacentral:rRNA from 1 species